rnacentral:rRNA from 1 species
UUAAGCGACUAAGCGUACACGGUGGAUGCCCUGGCAGUCAGAGGCGAUGAAGGACGUGCUAAUCUGCGAUAAGCGUCGGUAAGGUGAUAUGAACCGUUAUAACCGGCGAUUUCCGAAUGGGGAAACCCAGUGUGUUUCGACACACUAUCAUUAACUGAAUCCAUAGGUUAAUGAGGCGAACCGGGGGAACUGAAACAUCUAAGUACCCCGAGGAAAAGAAAUCAACCGAGAUUCCCCCAGUAGCGGCGAGCGAACGGGGAGGAGCCCAGAGCCUGAAUCAGUGUGUGUGUUAGUGGAAGCGUCUGGAAAGGCACGCGAUACAGGGUGACAGCCCCGUACACAAAAAUGCACAUGCUGUGAGCUCGAUGAGUAGGGCGGGACACGUGGUAUCCUGUCUGAAUAUGGGGGGACCAUCCUCCAAGGCUAAAUACUCCUGACUGACCGAUAGUGAACCAGUACCGUGAGGGAAAGGCGAAAAGAACCCCGGCGAGGGGAGUGAAAAAGAACCUGAAACCGUGUACGUACAAGCAGUGGGAGCCUCUUUUAUGGGGUGACUGCGUACCUUUUGUAUAAUGGGUCAGCGACUUAUAUUCUGUAGCAAGGUUAACCGAAUAGGGGAGCCGAAGGGAAACCGAGUCUUAACUGGGCGUUAAGUUGCAGGGUAUAGACCCGAAACCCGGUGAUCUAGCCAUGGGCAGGUUGAAGGUUGGGUAACACUAACUGGAGGACCGAACCGACUAAUGUUGAAAAAUUAGCGGAUGACUUGUGGCUGGGGGUGAAAGGCCAAUCAAACCGGGAGAUAGCUGGUUCUCCCCGAAAGCUAUUUAGGUAGCGCCUCGUGAAUUCAUCUCCGGGGGUAGAGCACUGUUUCGGCAAGGGGGUCAUCCCGACUUACCAACCCGAUGCAAACUGCGAAUACCGGAGAAUGUUAUCACGGGAGACACACGGCGGGUGCUAACGUCCGUCGUGAAGAGGGAAACAACCCAGACCGCCAGCUAAGGUCCCAAAGUCAUGGUUAAGUGGGAAACGAUGUGGGAAGGCCCAGACAGCCAGGAUGUUGGCUUAGAAGCAGCCAUCAUUUAAAGAAAGCGUAAUAGCUCACUGGUCGAGUCGGCCUGCGCGGAAGAUGUAACGGGGCUAAACCAUGCACCGAAGCUGCGGCAGCGACGCUUAUGCGUUGUUGGGUAGGGGAGCGUUCUGUAAGCCUGUGAAGGUGUGCUGUGAGGCAUGCUGGAGGUAUCAGAAGUGCGAAUGCUGACAUAAGUAACGAUAAAGCGGGUGAAAAGCCCGCUCGCCGGAAGACCAAGGGUUCCUGUCCAACGUUAAUCGGGGCAGGGUGAGUCGACCCCUAAGGCGAGGCCGAAAGGCGUAGUCGAUGGGAAACAGGUUAAUAUUCCUGUACUUGGUGUUACUGCGAAGGGGGGACGGAGAAGGCUAUGUUGGCCGGGCGACGGUUGUCCCGGUUUAAGCGUGUAGGCUGGUUUUCCAGGCAAAUCCGGAAAAUCAAGGCUGAGGCGUGAUGACGAGGCACUACGGUGCUGAAGCAACAAAUGCCCUGCUUCCAGGAAAAGCCUCUAAGCAUCAGGUAACAUCAAAUCGUACCCCAAACCGACACAGGUGGUCAGGUAGAGAAUACCAAGGCGCUUGAGAGAACUCGGGUGAAGGAACUAGGCAAAAUGGUGCCGUAACUUCGGGAGAAGGCACGCUGAUAUGUAGGUGAAGCGACUUGCUCGUGGAGCUGAAAUCAGUCGAAGAUACCAGCUGGCUGCAACUGUUUAUUAAAAACACAGCACUGUGCAAACACGAAAGUGGACGUAUACGGUGUGACGCCUGCCCGGUGCCGGAAGGUUAAUUGAUGGGGUCAGCGCAAGCGAAGCUCUUGAUCGAAGCCCCGGUAAACGGCGGCCGUAACUAUAACGGUCCUAAGGUAGCGAAAUUCCUUGUCGGGUAAGUUCCGACCUGCACGAAUGGCGUAAUGAUGGCCAGGCUGUCUCCACCCGAGACUCAGUGAAAUUGAACUCGCUGUGAAGAUGCAGUGUACCCGCGGCAAGACGGAAAGACCCCGUGAACCUUUACUAUAGCUUGACACUGAACAUUGAGCCUUGAUGUGUAGGAUAGGUGGGAGGCUUUGAAGUGUGGACGCCAGUCUGCAUGGAGCCGACCUUGAAAUACCACCCUUUAAUGUUUGAUGUUCUAACGUUGACCCGUAAUCCGGGUUGCGGACAGUGUCUGGUGGGUAGUUUGACUGGGGCGGUCUCCUCCUAAAGAGUAACGGAGGAGCACGAAGGUUGGCUAAUCCUGGUCGGACAUCAGGAGGUUAGUGCAAUGGCAUAAGCCAGCUUGACUGCGAGCGUGACGGCGCGAGCAGGUGCGAAAGCAGGUCAUAGUGAUCCGGUGGUUCUGAAUGGAAGGGCCAUCGCUCAACGGAUAAAAGGUACUCCGGGGAUAACAGGCUGAUACCGCCCAAGAGUUCAUAUCGACGGCGGUGUUUGGCACCUCGAUGUCGGCUCAUCACAUCCUGGGGCUGAAGUAGGUCCCAAGGGUAUGGCUGUUCGCCAUUUAAAGUGGUACGCGAGCUGGGUUUAGAACGUCGUGAGACAGUUCGGUCCCUAUCUGCCGUGGGCGCUGGAGAACUGAGGGGGGCUGCUCCUAGUACGAGAGGACCGGAGUGGACGCAUCACUGGUGUUCGGGUUGUCAUGCCAAUGGCACUGCCCGGUAGCUAAAUGCGGAAGAGAUAAGUGCUGAAAGCAUCUAAGCACGAAACUUGCCCCGAGAUGAGUUCUCCCUGACUCCUUGAGAGUCCUGAAGGAACGUUGAAGACGACGACGUUGAUAGGCCGGGUGUGUAAGCGCAGCGAUGCGUUGAGCUAACCGGUACUAAUGAACCGUGAGGCUUAACCUU